AACAUAAUUAGCUGCAAAUUUUCUGUAGCUGAAACGAUAGUCGAUUAUGCAGCACUGUUAUUAAUUGAAUUCCAAGACAACGAAAGAGUGCCCAAAAAAGAAGUGGGCACGCAAAAAAAAAAAAAAAAAAAGCAAACUGUACUUUGAGCAAAGGAAACAAAUAGAAUAUGAAAUCAAGUACAACAAGAGAAAACGCAAAGCCAAAAAUUACGCUAUUCCCUUUUCUAUUGAAACUGCGUAAAUUUAGUUGCCAUUAUUGAAUCGAUGCGUGCGUGCGCGUAUUAUUAUUAUUUUAAUUUUUUUGCGUUUAAUGUUGGAUCAAUUACCUUUUAUGCAUCUUAAAUUGUUGCUUUAUACAUUUAAAAUGAUUCAAUUAAAUAAUAUUAAAGAAUGCGAUCAAUGUGGUUAUAAAUUAAUGACAAUGUAAUUUAAAAAAAAAAAAAAAAAAUAUAUGUAGUGCUUUGAGCUCAAUAAUUGAAGAAAGUCAUUGUUCUUAUUAAAUUAAAAAAAGAAUGGUUUUCAUUUAUAUAAAUAUAUACCCACAUACAUUUAUACAUGCAUAUGUGUGUAUGUACAUAUGUUCAUUUAUACUCAAAUCUGUUGAAUUUCGCGUUGGAAGAGCUAAAAAGGAAGAAACUGUUAUACAUACACACACACAUAUACGCUUGAGAGGAACAGCUCAGCUUAAAUACCGACACCAAUACUAUGCCAACAUGUAGUUUCGGGCCAAUUGAUGCUGGGAAAAUGGCAAAAUCGUGAACGCUUUGUAAGGCACCGAUGACUGCGUCUGCGUCAAGCGUUUCAUCUGACGACUCUUACGACCAUUUAAUGACCUACAUUCAGAAGAGGGCAUGCAAAUUAAAACGAAUGAAGAAGAAGAAGAAGAAGAAGCCGAGAUUUACAUAUUUAUUGCUAUUAUUGCUCACCUCCAAUGCGGACAAUCACUCGCUCUGCUCCACAAAAUUUAUAUAGAAUCUAUUUAUAAAAAUAUUCAGGACUAUUCUUGGAAGAAACUCAAUCAAAUCAAUGUCUGUCUACUCAAGUUUGUGUCAACGACAGCCGACAGGUGGCGCAUAUCAAUUAUCAAUUUGCAAUUUUCCAAUCAACAAGCAACAAAAAAAAUGUAUAAAAUAAAAAAACAACACACACACACACAGAAUAUGAAAUGGUAAGUAAAACAAGUUUUGUGGCAUUUAAUUUAUAUGAAAAUGGACUUGGCCCGGACAUCUUGAAGAAGGCCUAGACAUUGGUCGCAUCAGCUUGCCGGCGGCUUAAUGAAAACUUGGCGCCUGCUGCAGAAACAUACGCACCCCUCCCCCUCCACCCCACCUCUCCCGUCGAUGGGCCGCUUAAUGCUGUCGUCAAGUGUAUUAAAUUGAAAAUUUAAUUAAAGAAGUUUGCGCCGGUUGCGUCUUGGCCAAGAGUAACACAGCUGUCUGGCUGGCAUCAAAUUAGCCAAACACAAAAGCUUAUUGAACUCAAGAGCAACAUUUGUGGCCCAACAGAUUCAUGGUCGACAAAAACAACGAAACGAAGCAAAAAUGGAUUUAAAAAAAAAAAGUAAACUGAAAUCAACGCAAAUCGCUGUCAAUAAUGGCCAAAAAGAAAAACCGGACGGUUGUGCCAACAGAGCAAAACAGCAAAAGCCAAAAAGGCUUAAUUUGUAGCCAAGUUAAGUUAUAUUCACACGCUUUUUGAUACCAAUUGCAAACAAUUGCCCUGCGUCAACACGUCCGCCACAGUCCCAGCAACGCCCCCCUCCCCCAGCUCCAGCCGCAGUCACGCUUAGGCAGUUUUGUCAAAAUACAAAAAUUGGCCAAAAGGCAGGCGACAAAGCGGCUAAGAAAACAACAGCAGAAAGAAAUAAAAUAAUACAGACACACAGAGACAGACAAGGCUGUUGGCAGCUAAUAAUGAAACUAAGUUGGUAAUAAAGCUGGCCUAAACCAAGCAAGCGACUUGGGUGUGUUUUAUAUGAUGUUUGCCUAUCAAGGACUGAUUGUACAGCCGAGAGUCAUUUUGAGAGCACUGAACGACUGGAAGAUGCCGUAAAUAUGCUUGCUUUUGCCUUGGCUGGGAUCAUUGGGUGUUUAUGAUGCCACCAGGUUCAACAUGCCACUUGGGUUAAUUUCGAGCUUUGACCGGGGCAGGGCUGGGCCUGGGUCCGGGUCUGACCACAAAGCUGAGUGGCAGCAGAAGACGCACAAGUUGCAUGCAAAUAAUUACCCAAAGGAAAUCCAGCAACAAGUCUCAAUGCGUUGCGAGUCGAGGCAAGUCGUGUAGACGACAAUGGAAAUGAGCCAUGCGUUGUUAUUGUUCAGAUUUAACAUUUCCUGCAUAUGCCAUACACACACACGCACGCACACAUACACGCACACAUAUGCAGAGCAAGAACUGAGUGAAAUCUGUCAAAAUAAACCAACUGCGACUGCGUCUACAACAUUUGGGAAACUACAGCUACAGCCUUUAGUUUUCUAACUUUUCAGUUUCCAUUUUCAGUUUUCCCGUCUUCCGUUUGCUGUUUUCAGUUUCAACUGCCCCACAUCAGCUCUGCUUGCUGUUGACAUGUGUAAUUAUGCUUAAUUACGUCAUGAGAACCAACCAAAUCUCGACAGCGCAGAACACACACAGCGAGAGAGGGCCAAGACGAGGGUUAACCCAAAAGUUGACCAGCUUAUUGUGGCUGGAAGAUUGUGUUUUCUUAUGAAAUGUGUGAGCUUAAUUUAGACUUUUUUUUACUCUUUUUCAUUUUUGUUCAUAUGUGAAGGCUAACAGAUUCACAGAUUCCUUUCCGAUGACUUGAAAAUUCCAAUUGGUUGUCUCACGCGCUUUUUGCCCAGCUUGACACAUUUUGGUCAGCUUGGCUUUCUCUUGUAGAGAAUUUUAAAAAUUGCUAAGCUUAAAUCGAAUUAUUUUUUAAAAACAAAUAUAAUUGAAAUGUUGACUUAAAUCUAUCAGAUAUUGCAAUCAAUUUAUUUCGAAAGGUAUUUAGUAGUAAAUUAUUGGCAAUACCAUCCUAAUUAAUUGAAUAAAGAGAAAGAGGAGAAAGAAAAUAAACAAAUGUAUUUUCUAAAUGAAAUUAAUUAAAUUAUGAAGGAAAAAUUAGAGCUUCAGCUUAGUGAAUAAAUAUAUAUUUGCUUUAAAAUUAAUGCUAUAAAUUAAA